UACGUAGGUGACCAGCGUUGUCCGGAUUUACUGGGCGUAAAGGGCUCGUAGGUGGCCAACUAAGUCAGACGUGAAAUCCCCAGGCUUAACCUGGGAACUGCGUCUGAUACUGGAUGGCUUGAAUUCGGGAGAGGGAUGCAGAAUUCCAGGUGUAGCGGUGAAAUGCGUAGAUAUCUGGAGGAAUACCGGUGGCGAAGGCGGCAUCCUGGACCGAGAUUGACACUGGUGAGCGAAAGCUAGGGGAGCAAACGGG
rnacentral:rRNA from 1 species